GACGAAGGGGGCUAGCGUUGCUCGGAAUCACUGGGCGUAAAGCGCACGUAGGCGGCUUCUUAAGUCAGGGGUGAAAUCCUGGAGCUCAACUCCAGAACUGCCUUUGAUACUGGGAAGCUUCGAGUCCGGAAGAGGUGAGUGGAACUGCGAGUGUAGAGGUGAAAUUCGUAGAUAUUCGCAAGAACACCAGUGGCGAAGGCGGCUCACUGGUCCGGUACUGACGCUGAGGUGCGAAAGCGUGGGGAGCAAACAGG
rnacentral:rRNA from 1 species